AGCUAGUAGGGUGUAUUUAUUAUUAGUUAGCUCUGCCCGGUGAUGUAAAAUUUAACGGCCGCAGUACACUGACUGUGCAAAGGUAGCAUAAUCAAUUGGCUAUUAAUUGUAGUCGAGUAUGAAGGAGUCCAUGGGGAAAAGCUGUCUCUUUUUUUAUUUCUAGAACUUACUAAGCAAGUGCAAAAACUUGCGUUUUAUUAUAAUAGACGAGAAGACCCUAUAAAUUUUUACUAAUAUUAGAAGAUUUCUUGAUCGUUUUUGUUGGGGCAACAAUGUAACACAAUGAAGUAAUUUACAAUGAAAGUAUGAUUUAAUAAAACGAGUUUUACUAAGAACAACUAAAUUACUAUAGGGAUAACAGCAUAAUUUUAAUAUUAAGAUUGUGACCUCGAUGUUGGAUUAGGAGCUUAACAAAUUAACAGUUUGAUUAAGGGGUUCUGUUCGAACUAUUACACCUACGUGAUCUGAGUUCAGACCGG
rnacentral:rRNA from 1 species